UCAAUCCAAUAGACCUUUUGGUUGUGGUGGAAUGGGAGAUUCUCAUCAUGGAUGUGCAGCCGACAAAUCUGCAGCAACUGCGUGAUGCUAUCAUGCCAGUAUGAACCAGAAUUUCUGAGGAAUGUUCCCAGUACCUGAUUGAAUCUACGCCACGAAGGAUUAAGGCUGUUCUAAAGGCAAAAGUGGGUCCAACCCGGUACUAGUCAGGUGUACCUAAUAAAGUGACCGAAAUAAAGUUACGGGAGUUGUCACCGGACUCAUGUCCCCAUAUUUGUACCUGAAGGCUCCACAAUGGUGACAUAAAGGCAGGGUUGGAUUGGCCUAGCAGGUGGAUGCUCCUGUUUGCCAGGUGGGCUUCCCACUGACACAACCUCAACUCUUUCAGUUAGAGAAAGCUGAGUGAUCGCUGGCCAGAUAAAGAGGGCAACCCCGUUCCCUCCUCCGCAACACGCCACAGCUGUGUGAGAACCAGGAGCAGGGGUUUGUGGGACAUCAACAGUCUCUAACAGGUGAAAGAGUUCAACUAGUGCUCAAGAAGAGGAGACACUGCAAGAGAAACAGUUUUUUUUCAUGCACCUGUCAGUUGAGAUUUUCCUAAAGUGUUUUUUAAUGUCAAGAAAACAUCCAAAAUACACUUAUCCAAUGUACCCGAGUGUAUAUUUUAUUGCGCUUUAUCAAUUUGUGUCAACAAAUACAAUACAUAUCUUUUUAAAGGCAUACAUUUUCACUUCAGCAGCUAAUACAGACAUCAAACUUUAUUCAUUUCUGUGUUCUGAAGGUUUUUGCUGAGGGAAAUGUGCAUAUAUAAUUUGCCUGAUUAUAUACAACAUUUUACUCUACAAAGAAAUUGUGAAACCUUUUUCUGACUGUUAUAGAGUGAUAAAGAGAUUUCCAAAAAUCA